rnacentral:rRNA from 1 species
UACGAAGGGGGCUAGCGUUGCUCGGAAUCACUGGGCGUAAAGCGCACGUAGGCGGAUCUUGAAGUCAGGGGUGAAAUCCUGGAGCUCAACUCCAGAACUGCCUUUGAUACUGGGGAUCUCGAGUCCGGAAGAGGUGAGUGGAACUCCGAGUGUAGAGGUGAAAUUCGUAGAUAUUCGGAAGAACACCAGUGGCGAAGGCGGCUCACUGGUCCGGUACUGACGCUGAGGUGCGAAAGUGUGGGGAGCAAACAGG